CGAUGGGUUCUGUUUACGCUUC
rnacentral:siRNA from 1 species